AGAAGACGGGGCCAGGACUGAGCAACACUGUUCCGUAGUGGCCGGUCGGGCAGCGACUGGGAGGGACUCGAGGUCCUGGGGGACGGAAGAAGCGAUGGGGGGCGUGUCCAGAUGCUUGUGGGAGUAUGGUUACCCUGUUGAAACUAUAAUAGAAGAAAGUGAAGCACGAAGACGCCAUGUCACUUGACCAAUUCAUCCAAAACUUUAGCAAAGCAAAAUGCACCUCUCUUGUUCCCCUCUUGAAUUCUUGUAAUCACCAUUGUAUCACUUAGCAAACAGGUUCUGAAAAGCGGCUGUUCAUAUCAAGGUUGGGCAAAUGCAGAGGCCACUUGGCAGUGGUACAUAGGAGAGCUCUACAAAAAUUUCGGUAUCAACCAGCACGAGAUUGCAGGCUAUGUAUCUCAUGCUGGGGAAGUGAAAAGCUGAGGAUCCCUGCUGUCAGCUAGAGGAAGAACUUGACUCCAGAGAUGAGAUUUCCAUGGUCUGACAACUUACCAGACUGCCUUGCUGGGGAAGACUGGAACUGAGUUAAGAUAGGUAGGACCAUACCUCCACCAGGACUGCCUAAUUAUGCAUACCUCUUCCCUUCCAUUUAAGCCUAAACCUCCUGUUAAGUGACUCGAAGAUAGGCUUAGGUGUGUCCCUGGACUCCUUCAUUUGUUCAUCUUUCCACUGUGGCCACAUUGAAUAAAU